rnacentral:rRNA from 1 species
UGGCGGGGUGCCUAAUACAUGCAAGUCGAGCGGACUUUUCCAAGGAGCUUGCUUCGCGGAAAGGUUAGCGGCGGACGGGUGAGUAACACGUAGGCAACCUGCCCACAAGACCGGGAUAACAUUCGGAAACGAAUGCUAAGACCGGAUAUGCAGCUUCCUCGCAUGGGGGAGUUCAUGAAACACGGUGCAAGCUGUGGCUUGUGGAUGGGCCUGCGGCGCAUUAGCUAGUUGGUGGGGUAACGGUCACCAAGGCGACGAUGCGUAGCCGACCUGAGAGGGUGAACGGCCACACUGGGACUGAGACACGGCCAGACUCCUACGGGAGGCAGCAGUAGGGAAUCUUCCACAAUGGGCGCAAGCCUGAUGGAGCAACGCCGCGUGAGUGAGGAAGGCCCUCGGGUCGUAAAGCUCUGCUGCCAGGGAAGAAUAAGCAUAUGUUAACUGCAUAUGCGAUGACGGUACCUGAGAAGAAAGCCCCGGCUAACUACGUGCCAGCAGCCGCGGUAAUACGUAGGGGGCAAGCGUUGUCCGGAAUUAUUGGGCCGUAAAGCGCUGCGCAGGCGG